rnacentral:tRNA from 1 species
GCCCGGAUGGUGGAAUGGUAUACACACAGCGCUUAAAACGCUGCGCUGCAAAGCAUGUGGGUCCGACUCCCACUCCGGGCA